AACUAAUAGUUAUGAUCGAAAAAUACAUGUUACGAGACCUUGGCUUGCACAAGCAUUUCUGAAAGGAAAUAUUGAAAUGAUGGCAAAACGAAUGAAGGAAAAUGUUUCUCAGCAGAAGUUUUGUGAGUGUGAAAGAAUUUUGAUCCCAAUUGUCAGCUCCGGACAUUGGCAUAUGGUAGAGUUAGUGAGGGAGGAGAAAAAAUUCUAUCACUACUCCUCAAUCAAGUCUUCCCUUUAUACCGCCGAUGCUGCGAAAUUUAAAAAUAAGUUUAUGAGUUUCAUAGAGAGUAAUUGGACGUUGGGGAAAUUAGAGCACCAUGAACUUGUGUCAGUUGCCGCUCCUCAACAAGGACCAACCUUAGAUUGUGGGAUCUUUGUGAUUGAAUUCAUUAAUAGCAUUGUCGAAAAGCGAUCGAUAACAAUCUCACAAGGAGAGUGUGCAAAAUACAGAGCAAAGUUUUGUGCAGCUCUCUUGUAUGCACGCAAUUCACCAUAUUUCUGACGAUUGUAAUUCACAAGGGUGGGUGUGAUUC